GAGAUUUGGGUAUCAGGAGGAGUUGGAUGGGGAGAAAAGGAAGGAUAAAAGGGUUCAGGCUCCAAUCUAUUAUUUCAGGAAUGCCGACAGUAUAUUCAAAAGUCCACUGAAUUUCAUAAAUCAAGAGACAUGACUAUACAACUGUUACAUACAGACAUGGGCAUAGUUACCAGAAGAAUAAAAUAUAAAUACAAUACAAAUAGUUACUUCUGAGAAGUAAGGCUGAGAACAGGAAGAAGUGGAACACAGCUCUGGAGGCUGGAAGUCCAAGGUCAAAGCGUCAGCAGGGGAGUUCCUUCCAGGGCUGUGUGGAAGGCUCUGUUCCAGGCCUCUCCUCCCACUGCUGGUGGUUUGCUGGCCAUCUCAGGCCUCCCUCAGCUUGUUGGAACAUCUCUGCCUUCAUGUUCUCACGGCCUUCUCCCUGUGCAUGUGAAUUGUCCAAACUGCCCCUUUUCAUAUGGACGCCAGUCAUAUUGGAUUAGAGGCCCACCCUCUUCCAGGAUGGCCUCAUCUUAAUUUAACUAAUAAAUCUGCAACAACCCUA